CAUAGGUUAAUGAGGCGAACCGGGGGAACUGAAACAUCUAAGUACCCCGAGGAAAAGAAAUCAACCGAGAUUCCCCCAGUAGCGGCGAGCGAACGGGGAGCAGCCCAGAGCCUGAAUCAGUGUGUGUGUUAGUGGAAGCGUCUGGAAAGGCGCGCGAUACAGGGUGACAGCCCCGUACACAAAAAUGCACAUACUGUGAGCUCGAUGAGUAGGGCGGGACACGUGGUAUCCUGUCUGAAUAUGGGGGGACCAUCCUCCAAGGCUAAAUACUCCUGACUGACCGAUAGUGAACCAGUACCGUGAGGGAAAGGCGAAAAGAACCCCGGCGAGGGGAGUGAAAAAGAACCUGAAACCGUGUACGUACAAGCAGUGGGAGCACGCUUAGGCGUGUGACUGCGUACCUUUUGUAUAAUGGGUCAGCGACUUAUAUUCUGUAGCAAGGUUAACCGAAUAGGGGAGCCGAAGGGAAACCGAGUCUUAACUGGGCGUUAAGUUGCAGGGUAUAGACCCGAAACCCGGUGAUCUAGCCAUGGGCAGGUUGAAGGUUGGGUAACACUAACUGGAGGACCGAACCGACUAAUGUUGAAAAAUUAGCGGAUGACUUGUGGCUGGGGGUGAAAGGCCAAUCAAACCGGGAGAUAGCUGGUUCUCCCCGAAAGCUAUUUAGGUAGCGCCUCGUGAAUUCAUCUCCGGGGGUAGAGCACUGUUUCGGCAAGGGGGUCAUCCCGACUUACCAACCCGAUGCAAACUGCGAAUACCGGAGAAUGUUAUCACGGGAGACACACGGCGGGUGCUAACGUCCGUCGUGAAGAGGGAAACAACCCAGACCGCCAGCUAAGGUCCCAAAGUCAUGGUUAAGUGGGAAACGAUGUGGGAAGGCCCAGACAGCCAGGAUGUUGGCUUAGAAGCAGCCAUCAUUUAAAGAAAGCGUAAUAGCUCACUGGUCGAGUCGGCCUGCGCGGAAGAUGUAACGGGGCUAAACCAUGCACCGAAGCUGCGGCAGCGACGCUGAUGCGUUGUUGGGUAGGGGAGCGUUCUGUAAGCCUGUGAAGGUGUGCUGUGAGGCAUGCUGGAGGUAUCAGAAGUGCGAAUGCUGACAUAAGUAACGAUAAAGCGGGUGAAAAGCCCGCUCGCCGGAAGACCAAGGGUUCCUGUCCAACGUUAAUCGGGGCAGGGUGAGUCGACCCCUAAGGCGAGGCCGAAAGGCGUAGUCGAUGGGAAACAGGUUAAUAUUCCUGUACUUGGUGUUACUGCGAAGGGGGGACGGAGAAGGCUAUGUUGGCCGGGCGACGGUUGUCCCGGUUUAAGCGUGUAGG
rnacentral:rRNA from 1 species